ACAGUGGACGCGAGCAUCUUUGUAGUUAAAUUUUUAGGUGCAAACGGUGGAUGCCUUGGCAUCAGAAGCCGAUGAAGGACGUAUGAGGCUGCGAUAAGCCUCGGGGAGCUGCCAACAGAGCAUUGAUCCGAGGAUUUCCGAAUGGGGAAACCCACUGGGAGUAAUGUCCUAGUACUUCUGCAUGAACACAUAGUGCAGAUAGAGGGAACGUAGGGAAGUGAAACAUCUCAGUACCUACAGGAAGAGAAAACAACCGUGAUUCCGCUAGUAGUGGCGAGCGAAAGCGGAUCGAGACUAAACCGAUGGUGUGUCAAGCCGGCAGGCGUUGCACGAUCGGGGUCGUGGGAUUGUGUCGAGUAAUCUGCCGAUUACUCAAUAAGUAAAAAAUCAAUGAUGUAGAUGAAGGAUUUGGAAAGAUCCGGCACAGAAGGUAACACCCCUGUAGUCGAAACAUCAUUGACUUAUUCGCAAUAUCCCAAGUAGCACGGGGCCCGAGAAAUCCCGUGUGAAUCUGGCGGGACCACCCGCUAAGUCUAAAUACUCUCUGGUGACCGAUAGCGGACAAGUACCGUGAGGGAAAGGUGAAAAGAACCCCGAGAGGGGAGUGAAAUAGAAUCUGAAACCGUUUGCAUACAAGCCGUAGGAGCGAGAGUAAUCUUGUGACUGCGUGCCUUUUGAAGAAUGAACCUGCGAGUUAGUGUCAUGUGGCGAGGUUAACCCGUGUGGGGUAGCCGUAGCGAAAGCGAGUCUGAAUAGGGCGAAAUAGUCGCAUGAUCUAGACCCGAAGCGGGAUGAUCUAUCCAUGGUCAGGUUGAAGCGCGGGUAAGACCGCGUGGAGGACCGAACCCACUAAUGUUGAAAAAUUAGGGGAUGAACUGUGGAUAGGGGUGAAAGGCCAAUCAAAUUCCGUGAUAGCUGGUUCUCCCCGAAAUGCAUUUAGGUGCAGCGUUACGUGUUUCUUACCGGAGGUAGAGCUACUGGAUGGCUGAGGGGCCCUACAAGGUUACCAAUGUCAACCAAACUCCGAAUGCCGGUAAGUGAGAACGUAGCAGUGAGACGGCGGGGGAUAAGCUUCGUCGUCGAGAGGGAAACAACCCAGAAUGACAACUAAGGUCCCAAAGCGUGUGCUAAGUGGAAAAGGAUGUGAAGUCGCAUAGACAACCAGGAUGUUGGCUUAGAAGCAGCCACCAUUAAAAGAGUGCGUAAUAGCUCACUGGUCAAGUGAUUUCGCGCCGACAAUGUAACGGGGCUCAAGCACAUCACCGAAGUUUCAUCAUUCACGCACUACCCCGGUCCGCAAGGAUCCAGGGGCGUGGAUGGGUAGGGGAGCGUCGUGCGCGCAGUGAAGCGGCGGAGGAAUCCAGCCGUGGAGAGCGCACGAGUGAGAAUGCAGGUAUGAGUAGCGAAAGACGGGUGAGAAACCCGUCCACCGAAUGACCAAGGGUUCCUGGGCCAGGCUAAUCCGCCCAGGGUAAGUCGGGUCCUAAGGCGAGGGCGACAGCCGUAGUCGAUGGACAACUGGUUGAUAUUCCAGUACCCGCAAUAAAGCGCCCAUGGCGAACCAACAAUGCUAAGUGGGUGAAGCGGAAGCAAUUCCGUGGAUCGUACGACCCUACGUUGUAGUAGCUAAGCAAUGGUGUGACACAGGAAGGUAGUUCAGCCCAGGCGAUGGUUGUCCUGGGGUAAGGGUGUAGUGAGGGCUAUAGGCAAAUCCGUAGUCCGAAUUCAUGAGACCUGAUGCCGAGCCGAAUGGCGAAGUGAAUGAUCCUAUGCUGUCGAGAAAAGCAUCUAGCGAGCUUUAUGGCGGCCCGUACCCGAAACCGACUCAGGUGGUCAGGCAGAGAAUGCCAAGGUGAUCGAGAGAAUCAUAGUUAAGGAACUCGGCAAAAUGCCCCCGUAACUUCGGGAGAAGGGGGGCCAAAGUGGGUGUAGGAGUUUUCCUCCGAAGCCUGCGGUGGCCGCAGAGAGUAGGCCCAAGCGACUGUUUACCAAAAACACAGGUCCGUGCGAAGUUGUAAGACGAUGUAUACGGACUGACGCCUGCCCGGUGCUGGAAGGUCAAGGGGACUGGUUAGCUAGUAAUAGCGAAGCUGAGAACUUAAGCCCCAGUAAACGGCGGUGGUAACUAUAACCAUCCUAAGGUAGCGAAAUUCCUUGUCGGGUAAGUUCCGACCUGCACGAAGAAAUUGCACAACGAGUAAAGAUGCUCGUUACGUGAAGAAAGACGGAAAGACCCCGGGACCUUUACUAUAGUUUGAUAUUGGUACUCGGAACGGCUUGUGUAGGAUAGGUGGGAGACUGUGAAGCGGGCACGCCAGUGUUCGUGGAGUCAACGUUGAAAUACCACUCUGGUCGUUUUGAGUUUCUAACCUCGGUCCAUAUAUCUGGAUCAGGGACAGUGUCUGAUGGGUAGUUUAACUGGGGCGGUUGCCUCCCAAAAAGUAACGGAGGCGCUCAAAGGUUCCCUCAGCCUGGUUGGCAAUCAGGUGUCGAGUGUAAGUGCACAAGGGAGCUUGACUGCGAGACAGACAUGUCGAGCAGGUGCGAAAGCAGGAACUAGUGAUCCGGCGGUGGCUUGUGGAAGCGCCGUCGCUCAACG
rnacentral:rRNA from 1 species